GAAAUGGUAGAUGUGUGAGCUCAAUCCUCUUCCUAAGCCAAUCAUCAAACGGAGGAAAAGACCUGCUGUUAACCUUGCCAAAAGGAACCUUGCCCUUUCUCACAAUCCUCUUCCUAAGCCAAUCAUCAAACGGAGGAAAAGACCUGCUGUUAACCUUGCCAAAAGGAACCUUGCCCUUUCUCUGAAUGUCACGCCACUCAUCAGACACUUGCCUCAACUUUGUCUGAUUUCCCUCAAUUGGGAAGUAGAAAGACUCCUG
rnacentral:lncRNA from 1 species